AGCACUACUACAAAAGUUUACAUACAUAACAGUACAUAGAUAACGGUUUUUUUCAAAAACCGUUAUCUAUGAGCGCACUUUUAGGAAUAGAUAACGGUUUUGAAAAAAUCCGUUAUCUAUGUACUGUUGUCUAUAUCCAUAGAUAACGGUUUUUGAAAAACCGUUAUGUUUUUGCGUUAUCUAUUAGUUGCAUACAUAACGGUUUACAAAACCGUUAUGUAACCGUUAUCUAUGACCAUCUUUUAUAACGGUUUAUUCAUAACGUUAAAGAACCGUUAUGUAUAAGAGUCAUUUACAACGGUUUUGGAACCGUUAUCUUUGAGCGUAUCUAAAAACUGUUGUGUAUAAUUUUUUUUUAUUAAUUUUUUUUAUUAAUUUUUUUAAAAUUAUAUUAUAUUAUAUUAAAAAAUAACAUAUAAAUUGUUUAUCCUAAAAUCUGAAUUUAUUCCUAGAUAUAGACUUUGAAAAAUAAAAAAAUUAUAACAUUUUUUUGUUUUAUCAUUAAGUAAUACUUAUAUAAAAUCUAAAUUAAAAAUCUAAAUACCAAAAAUUGAAUAUUAAAAGUGAAAAAAAAGAAAAAGAAAAAAGGAAUAGAUUUUGCCUUAGGUUAUUUCACCUAAACAUUUUCGCGCCUAACACCUUCGAUCCCGCGCUGAAUUUUUCAUUCCUUUGCAAUUUUCGUUCGUCUGCAAGUUUGGUUCCUCAAAAUUUUCGUUCGUGUGCAAGUUUGGUUCCUCAAAAUUUUCGUUCGUCUGCAAACGGAGGACCGCCGUUCGGCCAUCCUCUGCCUGUUGCGCCGCCACCCCUGCUCGCCGAGGCGCCGCCCUUCAUCUGCUCUCAACAUCUGGUCGCCGUCGUUCAGGAAAUAGAGAAGCUGACGUCCGCAAAAGGGGGAAGCUGACUUCUGCAAAAGGAGGACGGCCGUUCGCCCUUCCUCUGCCUGUUGCGCCGCCACCCCUGCUCGCCGAGGCGCCGCCUUUCAUCUGCUCUCAACAUCUGGUCGCCGUCGCCCGCCCUUCCGCUUUUCGUUGCGCCGCCGCCAGCGAUUCCAGGUAAUUGAUGCAUGUGCUAAAGGGGAUUUGGGCCGCUUUAUAAACCAUAGUUGUGACCCUAACUGCCGGACAGAAAAGGUUUGAAAGCACACGGUGAUAGAGAGAUUGACAAAGAGAUAAGCUUGAAGG